rnacentral:rRNA from 1 species
AGAGUUUGAUCAUGGCUCAGAACGAACGCUGGCGGCGUGCCUAACACAUGCAAGUCGAACGGAUUUGAGGGGCUUGCUCCUCAAGUUAGUGGCGCACGGGUGAGUAACGCGUAGAUAAUCUGCCUGAUGAUCCGGGAUAACACUUCGAAAGGGGUGCUAAUACCGGAUAAGCCCACGGGGUCUUUGGACUCUGCGGGAAAAGGGGGGGACCUUCGGGCCUUCUGUCAUCAGAUGAGUCUGCGUACCAUUAGCUAGUUGGUAGGGUAAUGGCCUACCAAGGCUACGAUGGUUAGCUGGUUUGAGAGAAUGAUCAGCCACACUGGAACUGAGACACGGUCCAGACUCCUACGGGAGGCAGCAGUGGGGAAUUUUGCGCAAUGGGCGAAAGCCUGACGCAGCAACGCCGCGUGAGUGAUGAAGGCUUUCGGGUCGUAAAGCUCUGUCGAGGGGAAAGAAGUGUAUUGUGGCUAAUAUCCACGAUACUUGACGGUACCCCUAAAGGAAGCACCGGCUAACUCCGUGCCAGCAGCCGCGGUAAUACGGGGGGUGCAAGCGUUGUUCGGAAUUAUUGGGCGUAAAGAGCGUGUAGGCGGUUUGUUAAGUCUGAUGUGAAAGCCCUGGGCUCAACCCAGGAAGUGCAUUGGAAACUGGCAGACUUGAAUACGGGAGAGGGCAGUGGAAUUCCUAGUGUAGGAGUGAAAUCCGUAGAUAUUAGGAGGAACACCGGUGGCGAAGGCGGCUGCCUGGACCGAUAUUGACGCUGAGACGCGAAAGCGUGGGUAGCAAACAGGAUUAGAUACCCUAGUAGUCC